rnacentral:rRNA from 1 species
AUACGUAGGUGGCAAGCGUUGUCCGGAUUUACUGGGUGUAAAGGGCGUGUAGGCGGGAUAGCAAGUCAGAUGUGAAAUACCAAGGCUUAACCUUGGGGGUGCAUUUGAAACUGUUAUUCUUGAGUGUCGGAGAGGGAAGCGGAAUUCCUAGUGUAGCGGUGAAAUGCGUAGAUAUUAGGAAGAACACCAGUGGCGAAGGCGGCUUUCUGGACGAUAACUGACGCUGAGGCGCGAAAGCGUGGGUAGCAAACAGGAUUGGAUACCCUGGUAGUCCACGCUGUAAACGAUGGAUACUAGGUGUAGGGGGUAUCGACCCCUUCUGUGCCGCAGUUAACACAAUAAGUAUCCCACCUGGGGAGUACGACCGCAAGGUUGAA